CCGCAGCGCAGCAGCAUAGUUUGCGUGCUCCCAGCGUCCUAAUUCUUUGUACUUGCGUAUACCCUUAAAAUGCUGUUGAAUAACGACUUACGAAAAUCAAGGAAUAAGCACCGGCUUCCAGCUUUUGUUUUUGAAUAUUGAUUUCAUAUUUAGUGGUUUCCUAAUUUUCUGGCAUUGUGAUGAUACUUCAACCUCAAACCUUCAUGGCUUUCCCUGCUGUGGCGUUGCUGAUCCUGGGCUUUCCUCACCGCGCCUCUUCAGAAUCCCAUUCACUGUCAUUCUUGGCGACAUUCAUCUAUGGAGAGACACCAUUCCCUGAGUUUACACUGGUACUGACAGUCAACAAUGUCCCAGUUGAGUACUACGACAGCAAUGUUAAAAAGAUUGUCUCACGG